rnacentral:rRNA from 1 species
CCGGGUAAAACCGGGCUGUGGGGUGCGGUUAUAGGGAUAACCCUGGUAAUUCUGAGGCUAAUACUCGAAUCGUACCCCCUGGACCACCCCAUUUGCAAGGUGGCUGGGGACCGUGCGAUCCGGAUAAAGGCGGUAGGAUUUUUUUAAAUAAAAAGUUACCACGAAAGGGUGCACAGUCAAACCGCGGAACUCUCUUUUAAUUAAGGGAGGGUCCGGCUUUUUGCCGGGCCUCGCGGGUCUUGUACGGUGCUUCUGACCUAUCAACUGUACGGCAGUGUCAGGGACGUGCCGUGGUUACAACGGGUACAGAGGAUUAGGGUUUGAUCCUGGAGAGUGGGCCUGAGAGAUUGCUCACACUUCUAAGGAAGGCAGCAGGCGCGUAACGUUCCCAUUGGGCAAAGCCCGAGGGCGUUAGGGGACAUAUGAAUGCCCGCCGAAAUGGUGGGCAAUUCAAAUGGGACCGGUCUAAACCGCCCAUCGAGUAAC